UACGAAGGGGGCUAGCGUUGCUCGGAAUUACUGGGCGUAAAGGGCGCGUAGGCGGUUCUGUUAGUCCGGCGUGAAAUUCCUGGGCUCAACCUGGGGGCUGCGCUUGAUACUGCGGAACUAGAGGAUGGAAGAGGCUCGUGGAAUUCCCAGUGUAGAGGUGAAAUUCGUAGAUAUUGGGAAGAACACCGGUGGCGAAGGCGGCGAGCUGGUCCAUUACUGACGCUGAGGCGCGAAAGCGUGGGGAGCAAACAGG
rnacentral:rRNA from 1 species